rnacentral:misc_RNA from 1 species
GAUGAAGAACGCAGCGAAAUGCGAUAAGUAAUGUGAAUUGCAGAAUUCAGUGAAUCAUCGAAUCUUUGAACGCACAUUGCGCCCGCCAGUAUUCUGGCGGGCAUGCCUGUUCGAGCGUCAUUUCAACCAUCAAGCCCCGGGCUUGUGUUGGGGACCUACGGCUGCCGCAGGCCCUGAAAUGCAGUGGCGGGCUCGCUGUCACUCCGAGCGUAGUAGUUACAUCUCGCUCUGGGCGUGCUGCGGGUUCCGGCCGUUAAAAGCCUUAUUUACCCAAGGUUGACCUCGGAUCAGGUAGGAAGACCCGCUGAACUUAAGCAUAUCAAUAAGCGGAGGA